AACCCUCUCAUUAAACCAUUUUGUUCUUGAACAAGAUAGUUUAGUGGAUGUUGAGUGUUGCUGUCAUUAGCUCACUUUAAAUAUAUCAGUUACUUUUCAAAUGAGUUGGAUUGACUUGGUGUAAUAAUUUUAUCAUCACAUCAAGGAAAGUAGCAAUACUUGCCAUCUUGUUUAAAUAAAAGGGACUUCUAAAAACCCAAUUAAUUAUUUU
rnacentral:misc_RNA from 1 species